GCGCCUGUAGCUCAGUGGAUAGAGCAGUGGCCUCCGACGCCAUGUGCGCUGGUUCGACUCCAGUCAGGCGUACCA
rnacentral:tRNA from 1 species